GACGAACCGUACGAACGUUAUUCGGAAUCACUGGGCUUAAAGGGUGCGUAGGCGGCGCGACAAGUUGGGUGUGAAAUCCCUCGGCUCAACCGAGGAACUGCGCCCAAAAACUGUCGUGCUCGAGGGAGACAGAGGUGAGCGGAACUUGAGGGUGGAGCGGUGAAAUGCGUUGAUAUCCUAAGGAACACCGGUGGCGAAAGCGGCUCACUGGACCAUAACUGACGCUGAUGCACGAAAGCUAGGGGAGCAAACAGG
rnacentral:rRNA from 1 species